GAUGAAGAACGUAGUGAAAUGCGAUAAGUAAUGUGAAUUGCAGAAUUCAGUGAAUCAUCGAAUCUUUGAACGCACAUUGCGCCCCUUGGUAUUCCGAGGGGCAUGCCUGUUCGAGCGUCAUUAUAACCCCUCAAGCUCAGCUUGGUGUUGGGGCCUGCUGCACUGGCAGCCCUUAAAAUCAGUGGCGGCGCCAUCUGGCUCUAAGCGUAGUAAUUCUUCUCGCUAUGGAGUCCUGGUGGAUGCUUGCCAUCAACCCCCAAUUUUUCUAUGGUUGACCUCGGAUCAGGUAGGGAUACCCCCUGAACUUAAGCAUAUCAAUAAGCGGAGGA
rnacentral:misc_RNA from 1 species